CUGUGAAUCAGCCCUCAGGAAGUGACCUUGAAGUUGUAGUUGAGGAUCCAGACUUUGAAAGAUUCAAAUUCCACUCCGUCACCUAGUUGCUGGCUGAUCUGGGGCCGGUUCCUUGACAUCUCUUGAUUCUCUGUGUUAUGAUAGGUUAAAAGGUGUGUGUGUGUAGGGGGGCAGGUUAAGUAGGCUGCAGGAGUUUUGCGAGGAUUUAAUGAGCAUCUGUGCAAAGGGCUUAGCACUGGGCCUGGGCACACUGCGAAUCUCUAUUAUUAUAAUUAGAGGCCAAGGGCCACCCCACCCCCCUUCCUGUUUCUCACCCGACGGGGGAUCUCCACCCCUUCUCCAGCUCUAUUUAAUUCUGAGUGUUUUAGGUCAUUCUAUGCCUGGCGCUCUGCCAAGGCACUGACAAAGACAGGAGUUUCUGCUCAUUCAUCCUAAUGCAAGUUCCUGCAUUUAUAAUAGGGGAAAAUGCUUGAAAGGGCUUGUUGCCCGCCGAGGGGAAAUCGGCUUAGAAUGGAAAAUCUAGUCUUUCCUCGGCUCAACACUCCCCUCCCUGCGCUUCGGCAAAGGCUGCAGCAGAGGGGGAGGCAGAGCUCGGGGGGACAAAUCUGCUCCUCCCUUGGACAAAAACCCCUCAGCCUGAGAAAGCCACCAAGUUUCAAUUCUGACCUGCUUGCUCUGGGUAUAACCACCCCAGGGUUUCAAGACCUCCAGCUUUUCUAGAAACAAUGUCCUCCUGUCUCUUGGGCUACUGAAGCUGUCAUGGUCCCUUGAAACUCCUCUGCUCACUGGUUGGACUCCAAAAGGGACAUCCCAGUGUGCCAUGGGCAUGACUAGUACCCCAUGCCCCCUCCCAGCAGCAGCUGGCUGGAGGUGGAGAGAGCCCUGCCUGGGACAGUCCCCUGAGGCCAGGUCACAGUCUCCUGGUCAUAGCUGCCAGCGUGAGGCACACCGCUACUUCUCUCAGCCCCAAACUGUGGGGCUCUGCUCCUGCCUGGACUGCCUCUGGUGUCUCUGCUUCUUUGCAUCUCUGAGCCUCAGUUUCAACAUCUGGAAAAAGGGGAUAAAACAACCUUUUGUGAGAUGAAGUGAAAGACGGACAGGACCAGCCUCGCACAGCUUAGCACAGAGUGGGUGCUUGCUAGUGACUGUUCUCCUGGGACUUUCCCCUCCACGUUCUCACCUGCCAUUCUACGGGAGCAGAAUUGCUUCCCAAUGGUGUGUGCGUGUGCGUGAGUGCCGAGGGUAUUUGUAGGGAGACCAACAUCCUCCUUGAUCUCAAGGCUCUUGCUUUUGCUGAUAGGACCAUUUGAAAAAACAGCAGAGGAGAAGGCAGAGGAGAGGAUGUGCCGCUGAGCUGUGGACCUCCUGGAGCUGCUCAGACUUUCUCGCAGGUGCCAUCGAGCAGAGGGCCAGCCGGGUGGUUGCCCACCUUUCCUGGCUGUGGGCUGGGUUGGGAGAGGCUGCUGGCAUGACGCCAAUAGACUGGCAUCCCAGACUUAGAAAUGGGGGGGGCUGUAGCUGAGAGCUACGGGAGGCCAGGGAGCUGUGGGGUGCCCAGGGGGAGGGAUGCGGAAAGGCCGGAGGCUGCAGACUCCCGGCUAGCAAGCUCUGGUAUUUUUAGCUCUGGAAUGCUCCUCCAAGUCCCCUGCACUUGUGUUUAUCUUGUUUUUGAUAGUCCUGUUCCUCUCUGGCGAUUCUGCAUAGAGCAGGAAGAGGCUUGGAGGGUGCCAGGGAGAACUUUCCCUCGCCACGCUGUCCAGCGGCUGCCUUCUCCCGCUGUCUGCAUGUCAUGUGGGGCAGUGGAGGCCGUCUGGCUCUUCCUAGGUUAUUUCUCUGUCCACCACCACAGACCACAGCCCUUCGCCUUGGGUACCCAUUUCAACCAGGCUGUGCUUCCAAGCGCAGGCUGGGCUGAACAGAUCAGCACUCCAAAGCUUGCCCCUGGAUUGCACACACUAUGGGUCCCAUAAAGGAGCAAUUGUGUGCAAAUGAACAACAGGAGCAGCUGCCCUGGGGACAGAGGACCAGUGUCUACUCUGGAGGUUGAUUGCACAUCUCUCUGCCUCGGUUGCUUCCUCUGAAAAAUGGGGCCAAGCCAGUUCCUCCUUUCUGAGGGAGCUACUGGGGGUGCUGCCAGGCCAUGGUGAAGAGAACCAGCCAGGGCAGGCCACGCAGUGGUGCACACCUAUACGCCCAGCUCUCCAGAGGGCGAGGCAGGAAGGUUGUUCUGAGUUCUGAAUUCGAGGCCAGGGCAGUCAUGAGGGUUGAUCACUUCUGAGACGGUCCUCUGCUUUUGGACAUGAAUCUUCUGUUUUCUUUUUAGGGGUAUUUGGAGGACACCACACUCCUCCAAGGCCUGCCCUAGUCACUGCUAUGCCAAGGCUGCAUUCUGGGAUCUGGUUACAGGUGAAGGUUACUCACUGGCUUCUUUUUACCCCGCCCUCCCCAGCUGUGGGGGCGAAGGGGGACCAGGUACCCUUUGGUGUAAGGUGAUCAGCUCACCAGUUUGCAACAUCACCCCAUCUGUCCAAGGGCUGCCAGACCAGCGCAGGGGAUGAACCCAGAGAGCUGGAGGGGGCAAGUACAAUUCUGGAUCUCUGUGAUGACUUCCUGCCAGCAGCCUCACUGUCCCUUCCUGUCCUUUCCUUUAGCCUGCUUACAGGAGAAGCCUGCGUGCCCUCCUGAGAGCCUGGCAUCACUUGGCUUAGAACCAAGGAAAGGUCUGGGACCAUCAGCCUAGUGAGCCUUGCGCACCCAGGUGCUGAUGGGGCGGCAGGCUACUCUGGCCUGUGUCAAUGUGCCAGUUGAAAGACAGUUAUGUUUUGAGUCCAGAGGUGACCCUGUGCUUGGGUGGGCAUGUCCUGGGUAAAAAUGUGGAUGGAGAAACCACCUGGGAUACCACACCCCUGGGCAUGGACCAAUGGCACUUAGGUGGUAGCUGGCAUAUCUGGGGAAGGACCUGACCUUUAGAACAGAAGACAGAAAUAGCCCUACACAGGACAUGGUCCUGUGUGGCAGAGAUGCCCAGGCUGGGCUAGGCAGGUCCAGACAUGAGGAAGAGAGGGAGUCGCAUCAGCACCAGCAGUGCCAGGCACCAUGCUGGACUCUUUUUCCCUUUUUCCCACCUCCAGUUUGCAGAGUGGACAUUGUGUCCAUUUUACAGAUUAGGAAACAGGCUCAGAAGCACAGCCAAGCCUGUAAGAGCAGCACUGGGGUAGAACUGAACCCAGCCAGUCUGAGCGUGCACUUUGACAGUUGGCUGAAGCUCCACCACCUGCUCAGUGACCCCUGCCAGCCUAGGGUGUAGGGAAGAGGGGAGCCUGACCUGGCGGCCAGCCUGACCUGUUCAUAGAGGCCUGGAGCCUUAGCAAGGCCAGCUUCUACCAUUGCUGUUUAUCAAGUGACCCCAGGGGCCUAGAACUUGUAGUCGGUGACAGCCUUUCCUGCCUCCCUUGUAUAGGAAGGGGUUCGGGGUUAUCUCCUGGCUUCCCCUAAGUGCGAGGUUCACAGCUGGGCAGAGCCUGAAACCCCUUCUCCAGGCAGUGGUCAGGAUAAGGUGGAGGACCGGCUAGGGCUGUUGAGAACAACAGGCUCAAAAUAGCACACUGCCACUGGCUGUCUCCUUCAUCCUCUCUCUGUGGCUUCCCAGCCUCAGCAGCCCCAGCUGUUUCUCCUUAUCUGAAGCCGGGAAGGCUGGUUGCCUGGAUACCAGCCGGUGAUUAGCAGUUGGUUCCUUCAGGGACAGCAGAGCUGUGCAUCCCAGCCAGCUGGGUGUGGCAUCCCUAUGCUCCCAGCGCCAACCUGAGCUGGCCCUUGGGAAGGUGGCAGUGGAGCUGGGGCCCAGAUGUGCUUGUGAAGCAGGCAUCCCCCAUCCUAUUUGCCAGGAGUUGUAUCCAGAGGGUGCUUUGCAGCUGGAUAAUCUGAGCCUCAAGUUUCUCUGCUGGCCAUGUGACCUCAGUGACCUUCUCUUGAGUGUCUCUCUUUUCAUGAAGAGGACAAUAAAUCACCCCCAACUCAAAGAA